CCAGCCCAUUGGGCCUCUCUGAGAAGGUCUGUGAAGUUUAUUUCAUUUCAGGUUCAAGGGUCCAUACAGGGAAAAGCAGUACACACUUUACAGCACUAAAGUGCCCACUUUCAAUUACCUGGCAGAGUACAAUGCUUCCCUUCACCCUCCAGAGAAGUGAAAUGUUACUCUGUGUGUGAGUCAGCACCCAGUUUUCAUCUCUUCCAUCUUGCAAGAAAUCAAAAGAAACCGUUUUCCUGGAAUCAUACAUGGAAAUGAGGUUCCAGUGAGGGCAGCUGGAAUAACUGUUGCGGAGCUGAAGAUAAUGCAGGGAACUAAGGGUGUCCUACUGUUAACUAGAUGAGGAAACUGAGACGGUGGGAAGUUAAAUAACAGCACAGAUUGGACAGAGAAGAAAUGGCAGAAGUUGGAUUUCAACUCAAGCCUACCUGGUUAACUUUCCCCUGUGCCUUGAUUAAUAGCUGAUCUGAUCUUCUCUAAGACUAAAAGCAAAGACAAGAACAUAAUAAAUAACUGAAUUACAUGCUA